CAUCCCGAAUUAUAGGCACCAAUAAAAGGUUUGGAUAUGUGGUGAGGAAUAGUAGUUAAGUUAAACCGUAAGGUAUAAAUUUGAUACGAAAUGCCGAUUAGUCAAUUUUCGGCAAUUUCUUUUGUCCGUGUAAAAUCAUAAAUCGAAGCUAAGGGGUAAUAAUUUUAUAAAUUACAAAUUAUGGCCUAGAAUAAUUGUUGAUAAUGUGAGGAAUUGUUUUGGGCCAUUUGAAGGUAAUUAAAAAAAUUUCUAUCGCCGAUAAUUUCAGUUUUUAACGAAAACGAUCGGCGAAACUUUUGAAGAUAUAGACAGGAAUAAUUUUGCCUUAAACUAGAAUUUAAAUGCUAAAUGAUGAUAUAAAGAGUUCCUAAAUGUGAUAUCAUAUGAUAGGGCAAUAAAAUGUUACAAGAUAAUUAAUUUAUUUAAAAACUAACUAAAUAAUUAAAUAAUGAUUAGAAUUCUCUAGAGAAUUCUUUUGUCUAUCAUCAACUCCAAACCCCCCCCUCAUUUCAGCCACAAGCACGUCCUCCCCCUCUCCAUGGAAGACCAAAAGCUUAAGCUUUUUAAUUUCCAAAUAUUUGUCAUUUAAUCGGUAAAUCGAUCGGGUAAUCUUGUAUCCGCCAGCAAAUCGAGCGAAGGAGCAUAUAGUGCGUUUUGAUCACAAAGGAGUGGAUUUAGAGGGUAGAGAAGUAUCAAGGUGAAAUAGGCUUAUGUUCAUAAGCCUGCGAGGUUAGAGUCGACAUUAUGUCAGUGGUGUUGCGCAGCUUUGCAUCUUUGGCGAGUCACUGGUGGUCAACUUGGUUUAGUAGUCGUGGCAUGUUAUGUAAUAGUUUAAUCUUUAACCUUCCGCUGGAUAAAUGUUAAGUUUUUAAAUGUAAUAGAUUUUAAUUAUGCUUUUAAGCUAAAAAGAAAAAGGAAAAAUUUCAGCA